rnacentral:tRNA from 1 species
GGAGAGGUGACAGAGUGGUCUAAUGUACCACCUUGGAAAGGUGGCGUGCGGGAAACCGUACCGGGAGUUCGAAUCUCCCCCUCUCCG